UUUUUUUUGUAAAUAUAAAAAGUAUUCUCUGCUCAAUGAAUAAUUUAAAUAGCUGCGGAUAUCUGUACUAAGGUAGCAUAAUCAAUUGUGGUGUUAAUUGCGGACUAGUAUGAAGGAGAUAAUUGUUAAAAAUUUUAUUGUAUUUUUUUAAUGAAAUUAGAUUUGUAGUAAAAAUACUACAAUUUUUUUUAGGGACAAGAAGACCCUAUAAAGCUUUAAUAUUACUUUUAUAGUUAGAUGUAGAAGAUUAUUUUAAUUGGGGCAAUUUUUUAAUUAAAUAUAAAAUUAUAUUGAAAAAAUAGAAUACUUAAGGAUCCACUAAUAGUGAAAUAUGAAAAAGUUACUUUAGGGAUAACAGCAUAAUUUUUAUUAUGAAGAGCUUAUUUAUAAUAUUGAUUAUGACCUCGAUGUUGGAUUAAUUUAAUAUUUUGGUGAAGACGCUAAAAAUAUAUGACUGUUCGUCAUUUUAAUAAUUACA
rnacentral:rRNA from 1 species